rnacentral:rRNA from 1 species
GACGAACGCUGGCGGCGUGCUUAACACAUGCAAGUCGAACGGGCGAAGCGGGUAGCUUGCUACCUGCGGAGCUAGUGGCGGACGGGUGAGUAACGCGUGGGUAACCUGCCCAUAAGAGGGGGAUAACAUCGGGAAGCCGGUGCUAAUACCGCAUAACAUUACGCCGACACAUGUCGGUGCGAUUAAAGGAGCAAUCCGUUUAUGGAUGGACCCGCGUCUGAUUAGCUAGUUGGUGGGGUAACGGCCUACCAAGGCGACGAUCAGUAGCCGGCCUGAGAGGUGACCGGCCACACUGGAACUGAGACACGGUCCAGACUCCUACGGGAGCAGCAUG